GGGAGCGAAACGGCUUCGACAAUUUGUGGACGGCCUGCUAAGCAUACCGAGGGCGCGCCAAAACUCGUUAAAAGGGCGCGAUUAAAUAGUUAAAUGCAAAUCGCACUAACUAUGCUCUUGCUGCUUAAUUCCCUUCGGGGUUUAAACGCAAAUUAGCAAUCUAAUUCCUUUCGUUUAGUUCUUUGGAAAGAGUUGGAUUAAGGGAAUAAGAACGAUUUACUAUUGUUUUGGUUUGUCGAUACAAUAAUAGUAAAUUAAAAAUUUCGACACUUCCGCGUUCUCUUGUUUUUGAAAGAACGAGGAUAGUAAAAAACGCAAAAACUAAGUAUGUAGAAAAGUGCGCAAGAAGCAUUUUGGACACGAGUUCAACUCUCGUCGCUUCCACCA
rnacentral:tmRNA from 1 species